rnacentral:rRNA from 1 species
UACGAAGGGGGCUAGCGUUGUUCGGAAUUACUGGGCGUAAAGCGUAUGCAGGCGGACUUUUAAGUUAGGGGGUGAAAUCCCGAGGCUCAACCUCGGAACUGCCUUCAAUACUGGAAGUCUUGAGUCCGGGAGAGGUGAGUGGAACUCCGAGUGUAGAGGUGAAAUUCGUAGAUAUUCGGAAGAACACCAGUGGCGAAGGCGGCUCACUGGCCCGGUACUGACGCUGAGGCACGAAAGCGUGGGGAGCAAACAGG